AAUGAAUGUUGGCAGCAUGGAUUAGGCAUGCAAGUCGAGCGAGAACCCGCAAGGGGGAAAGCGGCGAACGGGGUAGGAAUACAUAGAUAACGUACCCUCUGGACGGGGAUAGCUACGGGAAACUGUAGGUAAUACCCGAUGAUCCCGACGAGUGAAAGUCUUGUCGUGCAAAGGUGUGAUUCCGCCGGGGGAGCGGUCUGUGCGGUAUUAGCUUGUUGGUGAGGUAAUGGCUUACCAAGGCUGUGAUGCCUAGGGGGUGUGAGAGCAUGGCCCCCCACCACUGGGACUGAGACACUGCCCAGACACCUACGGGUGGCUGCAGUCGAGAAUCUUCGGCAAUGGGCGCAAGCCUGACCGAGCGAUGCUGCGUGCGGGAUGAAGGUCUUCGGAUUGUAAACCGCUGUCGGGGGGGAGUGAAAUGUACGAGGGCUAUCCCUUGUAUUUGACAGAGCCCCGGAGGAAGCGCGGGCUAAGGUUCGUGCCAGCAGCCGCGGUAAU
rnacentral:rRNA from 1 species